UUUGCCUGCCUUGGCCUCCCAAAGUGCUGGGAUUACAGGCGUGAGCCACUGUGCCUGGCCAAAAAUCUUUUUGUUGACAGUGGAUAAGCAGCCAGCUUUGCAUCCCUCCCCACCCCAACCACAGCCCCUUUCACACUCAGCCCCAGAAGCUGGCAGGAACUGAUAACCCUCCAGAGGGUUAUCGGUAAAGCACCCAUGGAGUGGCUUGAAGAUGGCACCCCCUUGGGCUGAGAGCAGGUUUCUACUUGUCUGAGAUAACGUGACUCGAGCUGCUUGACCAGGACAGAAUGCUGGUUUCACAUAUGCCGUUCUUUUCCACACAUAUUGCUGAGCACUCCUUUGAUUGCAAAUGACAGAAACCCAACUUGAAUUACCAUAAUGAAACAGGAUAUUUAUUGUGAGGAUAGAAACAUGUCUCACGGAAACUAAGGUUGGAAAGACAACUGGGUCUCCAGAACAGUGGGAAUUAGGUUCUUGAAAAUCCUCUCCAACUCCCUGCAUUCAUUUUUGACCAACUUUAUCUCAUCACAGGAAAUGUGGCUGCUGAACUCUCUCAGAGCUUUAGCCAUGUAGAAGGGGGAGAUCACGUGAUUCUCUUAUUCCAAGUCCAGAACUGCAAGAGAAGAAGCUUGUUGGUCCUGCUGGAGAAAGGGUCUUCCUCCUGGAAGUCAUUUGUGCUGAGGCGGUGGCACUGGACUUAUAGUGUGAACCCUACAGUACCAUGGAGGUGGAUAACAGGGGCAGCUAUCUUAGGAGAGUUGAAAAAACAAUUUUCUUCAGGAAUCUCCAAUUAUUGCUAGAAGAGUGCUAGGUAAAAAGCCCCAAAGGCAUCAACUACAUAAGAGAUUUUGUGAAAAUUGAUGAAAAGCAAGUUGAUUACUGCCCAACCUAAACAACCAGAAAACAAGAAAACAUUCAGUCCAAGGGGAUAUCUGAAAAUCAAGAGAAUCCACUGAAUAAUGAAAAAAGACUGGUAUUAGAUUUUUCUGUUAACUGUUAUUUGGGUAAGCAACUAUUUCAGAAGGGAUUGGUUCCUUUGCUUUAUCUCAUUAAAUGCGAUGGUAAUGCCUGCAGAUUGCAUCUUCCCACAAUAAAUAAAAUACUGUAUACAUUCAUGUAGCAAAGGUCUUCUUAGCCCUUUCCCUACCCUCUUCCCAAUUCCUAAUCUGCUAUGUGUGAACUUUGAGGUAAGCCUGUUGGAGAGCCUUGGGGGAAAUGGGGCACAAGUGCCACAUGGUUAAUGAGGACACUCCUGGUUUACUCGGCACAAAGGGUGUGUGAGUCAAAAUUCUUCAGAGAAACAGAGCCAACAAGAUGUGUGUAUAUGCAGACAGAGACAGAGACAGUGAUUUAUUUUAGGGAAUUGAGUCAUGUGAUUGUGAAGGCCUGGUUAAUCCAAAAUCUUCAGGAUAGGCCAACUGACUGGAAACUCAAGGAAGAGCUGCAGUUAGAGUCUGAAGGCUGUUUGCUGGCAGAAUCCUUCCUCCCUGGAGGACAUCCGCCUUUGUUCUAUUAAGACAUUCAACUAUGAGGCCCACUCACAUUAUGGCGGGCACUCUGCUUUACUCAAAGUCUACUGACUUAAAUGUUCAUCCCAUCCCAAACACCUUCUCAGGAAUAUCCAGAAGAACAUUUGAAUAUCUGGCCAUUGUGGCCCAGCCAUAUUUACACAUGAAAGUAACAACCAUCACAAAGGGGAAGUGGCAGACUACCAGGCAAGGCUGGAACAGAACUGGAAAGUAGAAAGUAGAAGUGGCAGACUACCAGGCAAGGCAAGAAUGGAACUGGAAAGUAGAAAUUCAUGAACAAUAUCAUGUCAGCCUAAGAAGCAGGGCGAGUGGUUCUUCAGACUUCUGGAGCCUGGAAAUAUUUACAGUUACAGUGGAAGAAGGAAAGAAACUGUGAGAGGGAGACAGAUGGGGAAGGAAGAGCCUCCUAAUGGCCAUAGUAGGAACAUUUCUCAACAUAGCGAUGGAUUCCCAUGGUGGAAAGAGUGACCAUGUGGGUACAUGUUGGAGAAAUGACAAAAGCCUGAGAGGCAGGAGUGACAGUGGUGCCGGAGGUGUCCUCUUCCUGCCUAUGGCAGAGUGGUGUGCAUGUCUUACAACUCCUCCCUGUGGCCUGUUGCAGUCUGCAUGUGAAAUAGAAACAUGCAGGCUGACUGUGGCCUUUAAGCUGUGUGGCAUUGGGCCAGGAAAACCUUUGCAAUGAUUCUCAGAGGCCAUGUAACAACAUACACAAUGUCAGAUAACCUAGGAAUGCUCUAUUUCCAGGGCCAGAUGGACAUAUUCAGGGAGACCAACAAUUUAGUACUCUCUCAAACCAAUAUUUGAAUGAGACUAUUGUCCUAUCUUUUUUGUUACUGUUGUUGGCAUGGGAAGGAACUGAGUUUCCAUGAAAAAUUACAUAGCCUGGUUUAUUAUGUUUGCUGUCUUCUUCUCAAAAACAACCCAUUUGCAUAAGCCCAUUAGUAAACAAUUUGGUGUUGGUUGAGGAUUUUUGAUUGGGGAAUAGAGGAGGGAUUCAAAAAAGGUGAUUUCUCCUGCAUAACCAGAAGAUACUUUCUUAUUAUAUCUUAUGAAUAAAUGUGUUUCUUCCCUUAUGUCUUUCUUGGGAAUCUUGGUUGCCUCUCUCUUUUUCUCUCUGGUGCUUGGUCUUUUUGCCUCCUGACUGCUCUUUCCUGAAUAUUUACCUCCCUUCAUGUCUGUAUUUCUGCCUUUCUGACAAAGAGCAGUUUCACACCCGUCUAGCUCUAUCUCCAUCCAAGUUAUGACUGGGGGAAUUGGUUUAGUGAAUGGGCUGGACUCUAGGGUAUAAUCCAGAUACAACUUUUUCUUUCCUCACCACUAUCUUCAAAUGUGUGGCAUCUCCCUUCCCUUCUCUUUUGGUGACACCGCAGAUUCCCAACAAAGAAGUAAGAAGACUAUUCCCACAGCAGUGGUGCAGAUUUGUCACAACAAAUGAAAAAUUACAUCGUGAACAGAGAAGCAGAGGGGAGAAGUCUGCUAAAAGCCACUCAAAAACCCUAAGCUCCCUUUCAAAAUGUAUGCAGAGUGGUUUCACAUUAUGUCUGCCACAUAAUAGAUAUUGAUUGAGUGAGUGAAGGAGACUGCCAAGGACACUUUCUGGAAUUUGCUGAGAUUGGUGUGUUCUACACAUACCAUUCAUCCUAUGAAAUAUAAGAUGCCAGUCAUCUUCCUAAUGCACAGUGAUGCUGUCAGCCUAGGGUGGAAUUGGCCAACACCAUGCCCUGGCCAAGAUACACUAGUUCUAUUCAGACCCUUCCUGUGCCCAGGCUUCUGCAGGGGCCAGAGGGCAGCAGCAAUUCUCGGGAGGGUCAGGAAGUGGAAGCUGAGCAUGGCCUUUGGCACCAUGGAGUAGAAGAGUGGGAGGCUGAGAAUCCUCCCCAGGGAAGUGGCAGGAGAUAAGCCCUCCUGUGGACUAAGGCUCCAAGCCACCAGCAUGCACUCCAUUGCCUAAUUAGCCUUCAUUUCAAAAACACAAAUUCAAAGAUAAAAUGGAGAAUUUCAAGAUGAUAACCACAGAGUGUUAUGGGGCCCUUGUGAAUGUGAGGCCCUGUGAGACUGCACUGUGGCAUGUUCCUGUAGCUGGCCCUGGCUGGAAAUGUGUGAAAGGUUAUCCAGCCUAGCCUUCAUCUGUUGCUUGGGUCUGUUUCUUGUGCUGAGUUUUCUUGCUUCAGCCUUUGAUUUUUGAUGCAUUAUACUUCAUCUUAAAACACAGCUUUCUUUUCCAUGUCAGUAAUUACUUUAAUAAUUCCCUGUGUCUGAAAUCUUCCAUAGAAAAAGUGGAAUAUGAGGUGAUUGUAAAAGAUCCAUUAAAGUGCAAAGGGCCAAGAAAAAAAAAAAGAAAAAGCAGAAUAAAUGUACUGUCAAUUUUCAGGGAUAGUGUAUUGAUAUUCUUAAACAACAAAAAAUACUGCUUGAUUGACUUUAACUGGAUUGAAUUAAAUUUUGUCUCCAGAAUUCCCCACCCUUUGUUUUGAUUCUCAAAGGCAUGAUUUAAUUCUCUAAGGGAACUCUUUUGACUUACUAGCUUUCAUGGUUUAUUUUGAGUGUAAAAUUAGGUCUCACAAUUGUUUGCAAGUCUAGGUCUGAGGAAUGAGAAUAUUGUAGGUUGAUGUCCUACUUGGAAAAACACACUUCAAACUCCCAAAGAGGUGGAUAUGAGUUUUUUGUUGGUUGUUUUUAUUUUUCAAGAUUUGUGAUAAACAGUGGAGCUUUAUAAUCCUACUGAAAACAUUUUGGCCUCAGAUGGACUAAUUCCUGUAAAGUCUCUCUUCUAGAAAUUUGUACGAUAUGAUUUUCUUAAAACAGUACCUUGAAAUCAUAACUUCUCAUGGCACAGCUGGUACACUUUGUUCCUGGCUUCAAAGAAAAUUAUAAUCUUAGGAUGUGUCCAAUACCUCUUAAAAUACACCCUGACUCAUCUCUCAGGCUCCAGGCCCCGUAUUUCACUGUAAAUCCGGUAUCUAAAUACACAGGUUGAAGUCUCAGGGGAUGUGAACUUGGUUAGAGUCAAACUCUACUUAAAAUAUGCAAUCGCCACUGGCUUUCCUUGUUUAUUUCUGAGAGAUUUCUCAUUCAUUCAACAAAACUGGGUUGGAAGUAAUGGUGAGGAACUCAUCAGCUCAAGCCAUGUAAAUGGGAAAAAAAUGGGGAAUGGACACUUUGAGGGCCAGUAAGAUAGACAUAAAGCAUAUACCCCUGGAUAGGGCUGUUUUCCAUAAACUUAAUCAGGUCUAGAAGUAAUUCUCUACUGCUCCCAGUCUCCACUUGCCCAGACAUCCCAAAGAACACCUUGUUUCACUUGCAGAGUUGAUGGAGGGGUACAGUAGCUGAAAUGGUGUGGCAUUGGAAGGUCACAAUGACAGAAGGAGAAAGGGGGGUUCAAAAAGGCUGGUUGGCAUGCCCUGAUUCAAUGGUGUGCUGGAGAAGGCUUGUAUUAGCUUAAGAGAGCUGAUUCUUAACUACAUUGAUGACCUGAAAUUGGCCAUGAAAAUCACUAUAUACUACCAAUCAAGUCUCAUCUGUCCCCCACCUCAAAGUUGACUGGCAGGUCACUGAUAUUAAGCUUACACUGCUCUCUAGAAAUGUUCUCUGGCUCCCUCUCGUUGCCUGUGGCACUUCCUUUUUGAUGUUCUUGUGGCCCUUGCCUCUAUUUGUCAUCAUUAUGUAUAUACAUGCCCGAUUCAUGGCCAUAUGGGGCCACAAUGUCUAGCAUUUAGCUGAUGCUUGACAAAUGUCCCUUGUAUCAAUGGGCACAUAAAAUGCAUAUUUUUCAGGUGUACAUUAAAACUAAGAAAAGAUUGAUCUUUGCUAACAGAAUUUUUUUGUUUAUAUAACAUUUAGUGAGCUCCUAUCCUGUAAUUGUACUAGGCUCUGGGGAUUUACCAAACAGCAAGGCAUGCUUCUUUUAUUAAAGAAGAACAUGGUUUACUGAGGAAGACAUGUAUUGCUUUCUCUUUGUAUUAAUAUGUCCUUCUGUCUGUUUCUACAUGUUUUUUACAUGUUUUCCUUAGUUGGUUUGCUAAGUUAUGAUGAAACUCCAAUGUGUACAAGUUUAUAUACAGAAUAAGAUCCGAAGGGCCACAUACCAAAACAUUAACGGUUUACUUCUGAUGUGCAGAUAGGUUAGGAAAACAUAAUAUUUUUUGUUUGUACUGUGUAUACUGUUUGAGUUUUUUGAGUACAUACUAUUUUAUACUUAAAAUAUCUAAGAAUAAUUUUUUAAAACUUGUAUAGUUAAUACAAAUUCAAGAAUGUGAAGUGGUGGGGGCAUAAGGGAGUUGGGGAGAAGUUUCAGGGUGAAACUGUUCCACCUCAGAUCAUCAGGCAGUAGGUAGUUUCUCAUAAGCAGCGUGCAACCUAGAUCCCUUGCAUGCACAGCUUGCAGUAGGGCUUGUGCUCCUAUGAAAGUCUAAUGCCACCACUGAUCUGACAGGAGGGAAAGCACAGGUGGUGAUGCUUACUGGCCAUUUAUUUACCUCCUGCUGUGAGGUCUGUUUCCUAAUGGGCCACAGACUGGUACUCCAUGGCCAGGGGACUGGGGACCCCUGCUGUAGGGAAUGAGAAUCACCUGGAGAUUUUUAACCGAAGGAUGAUGAGAUUCAAUCUAUAUUUUUGGAUGAUAACAGCUAAAAUGAAGAACGAGGUUGCACUGGUGAGAGGCAGACUGAGCCUAAUGAUAGAUUAUCAUUUGGUCUUUAUAUAACAAGACUGUUUCUCUACCUAGUUUUGGGUGGAAAUAACUUGCACUGGGAGUUCCUAGGGUGUGGUACACAAGUCCUUAUGUGGCUAUAAGAACAGACAGUCCAGACACUCAGUCUCUUCUUCUUUCAGCUCUAAUGUCAUUGCUCUCUUGUAUCCUAGAAUCUGAUAAGUGUUGGCAAGGCAGAAAUUCUGUCUUGUUCUGAGUCAUGUGGGUGGACAAUGGUGGUGAAGGAAAGAAAGCUCCUAGCAGCGGCUGGCCUUGCUGGAAAUACAGAGAUGGAAGUUCUCUGUUCCAAGGAUAUUUAAUGGUGUCAGGAUAUAGGCCACAAAUUGUCAUUCGAGGGUGGCCUGGCUUAUACUGGGUAGCACUGGCUUCAAAUCAACUGACCUUUGAGUUAUAAAGAUGUCAGUUCCUUCAUGUGGUGACUUUCAUAUGUGUUAAUCUCCUGUAGGGUGGGUUCAGGUAAAAUGAAUGAAAGAUAGGUGAGAAUCCAUGGGAUACCACCCACUGGAUGUGAAGCACCUCACAUGGGGUGAAGUGACAUGUUAGAUCCCUCCAGCAGAAGAGGCAGGCAGGGAGGUAAAGCACGAUUUGGUAUUGAUUUGACUCUGCCUGCUCUUGUUGCUAAACACUACGUGCUUUCCAGGAACAUGGAAGUGGUGCUGGGUGAAACCUCUGCCUUGACAGUCUUUUCCUGAUCUGAGCAAUUCUUAGAGGGGAGGUCACUUCCUGUCCAUUGUUCAGUUGAGAUCACUUUAGACCAUAAGUCUGAGGUCCUGUUUAUCAUCCAUAGAAAUGGUUCUCUUUUAUUUAUUUAUUUUUUUCAUUAUAUACCCAGCCAGGUCCUAGCAUAGGCCUUCCCAAAAACAAUGGGUCAGGACCAGUUCUAGUGUCUUCCACAUCUUAGAAAUUAAACCACCACCUCAUUUUCUGUUUCUAACUGAAAUCUAGGGCCUAUCUGCUGGCUUCAGGUCUUUCUACCUUGGUGGUAACUCUAAUUUGAAUAUUUUGUUAUGCUCUCUGUCCCUGUAGCUUGAUUGGUGUUAUUCUGAAAAGAUCUCAACUCAUGCAUUUAUUUGUUCAACAGGUACUGGAUUUUUUGAGUGCUAAUGUGAGUCAGACACUGUGUGAGGCAUCGGGAAUAUGAUAGUAAACAAAGAGAACCUUGGGCCUGCCAUAAUAUUGCUUAAAGCCAAGGGUAGGAUUGAAAUAUUAAACGAAGAAUAACGAUGUAAAUGCAAAGCCACAACUGUAAUGGGCAAUGAUGGAAUGCUACAAGGUAAAAUUACAUGAAAGGAGAAUCAUCUAGUAAGGAAAGUCCGCGGAGGCUUCCCUCAGGAAGUGAUAACCCCACCAAGCUCUUCCUUUAAGAGUAGAAGGGCCUAGGUUUCUGGGCAGGUCGCUUUACUUCCUACUAGGAAGUGAAGCAAUAUUUCCCAGGUCACACCAAAAAAUGAGAGGUAAAGGGGUCCCAUUAGACUGUAGCUCUAGUUCUAGUUCUAUGGGACUUACCCAUAUUCACAUUACUGAGGGAUACUCAAGUGACUCUUUGAAGGACAAAAAGAUAAGCUUCUUCAGAAUAAAAAGAAAGCCAAUAGAUAUACCCUGCUAAAUGUAUUAAAAUGUCACUUAAUAUUUAUAGAAUAUCACUGAAGUGUAGAGUCCCUUCCCGACACUUAAUCUUGAGGGGCCAAAUAGCCAUUUUCCACUUACUUUAGGUACUUUCCCUGCUCUGAGGGUCCUGUUCUAUAGCCAGCCUGCUAAAGCCUGAUUCCAAUCACUGUCUCCAAUUUUCAAGGUCCUUUAGGAUCUUUGAACAGUAAUUAUUUCUUUUCUCUUCACAAAGAGACUUUCUAUAAAUUGCCUGUGACUAGAAUUGAUUCAGAUAUUUAGGUAUAAUGCUGAAGAAAUGUUGAGGUGUAAAUAUAGUUGUUAGGUGACAAAUUCUGCUUUCUGAAACUCCCAGGAUGGGAUUUCCAGCCAUAAGCAAGGGUGCCAUUUGGCAUUUCUGGGUGGGGAGCCUGACUGACAAGCUCACUUCUCAGGAACAAGGAGCACCCGCCACCUGGCAUUCGUUAUUAGCAGCUGUGUGAUUGCACCCCAUGGUGACAUGACACAAACUUCUCUUCAGAAUUCCCCAAGCUAAGAGGAGAUUCAUGAGUCAGGAUGUUGGGAACCGCACAGGCAAGUACCUUGGUUUUUGAGGAAAAUUUGUCUGGCUUAUGAAUCACAAAAAUAAGUGCCACAUAUUUAGGAAGAGGUACCAGGUUGUGUGGAUGUGGAGAAAUUGAAAUAUAUACAAAUAUACAUACACCAACUCCUUCUUCUCCAAAGAGACCCCCUCAAAAUGAUGACUUCCAGAGCACAUGAAUGAAAAUGAUUGCAAUGAGUUUAAAAUAGUUAACACUAUUUUGCAAGUCAUUAAAUGCUCUGCAAGUUAUAACCCAGUGGACUCACAAAUUAAACAGGGCUGAUUGAUAAUAAAACAACAAAUUAAGCAACAUAUGGGAGUAUUUGACUGUUGUUCAGAAAUUAACCAACUCUAACAUGUAGGAGUAAUUAAAAUAAUUCC